rnacentral:misc_RNA from 1 species
CAACCCUCAAGCAUUGCUUGGUGUUGGGGCACUGCUUUUAACGAAGCAGGCCCUGAAAUCUAGUGGCGAGCUCGCCAGGACCCCGAGCGUAGUAGUUAAACCCUCGCUUUGGAAGGCCCUGGCGGUGCCCUGCCGUUAAACCCCCAACUUUUGAAA